rnacentral:rRNA from 1 species
UGGGGAAUUUUGGACAAUGGGGGAAACCCUGAUCCAGCCAUCCCGCGUGUGCGAUGAAGGCCUUCGGGUUGUAAAGCACUUUUGGCAGGAAAGAAACGUCAUGGGUUAAUACCCCGUGAAACUGACGGUACCUGCAGAAUAAGCACCGGCUAACUACGUGCCAGCAGCCGCGGUAAUACGUAGGGUGCAAGCGUUAAUCGGAAUUACUGGGCGUAAAGCGUGCGCAGGCGGUUCGGAAAGAAAGAUGUGAAAUCCCAGAGCUCAACUUUGGAACUGCAUUUUUAACUACCGGGCUAGAGUGUGUCAGAGGGAGGUGGAAUUCCGCGUGUAGCAGUGAAAUGCGUAGAUAUGCGGAGGAACACCGAUGGCGAAGGCAGCCUCCUGGGAUAACACUGACGCUCAUGCAUGAAAGCGUGGGGAGCAAACAGG